GACGAACGCUGGCGGCGUGCCUAAUACAUGCAAGUUGAGCGCUGAAGGUUGGUACUUGUACCGACUGGAUGAGCAGCGAACGGGUGAGUAACGCGUGGGGAAUCUGCCUUUGAGCGGGGGACAACAUUUGGAAACGAAUGCUAAUACCGCAUAAAAACUUUAAACACAAGUUUUAAGUUUGAAAGAUGCAAUUGCAUCACUCAAAGAUGAUCCCGCGUUGUAUUAGCUAGUUGGUGAGGUAAAGGCUCACCAAGGCGAUGAUACAUAGCCGACCUGAGAGGGUGAUCGGCCACAUUGGGACUGAGACACGGCCCAAACUCCUACGGGAGGCAGCAGUAGGGAAUCUUCGGCAAUGGACGAAAGUCUGACCGAGCAACGCCGCGUGAGUGAAGAAGGGUUUCGGAUCGUAAAAAUCGGUUGGUAGAGAAGAACGUUGGUGAGAGUGGAAAGCGCAUCAAGUGACGGUAACUACCCAGAAAGGGACGGCUAACUACGUG
rnacentral:rRNA from 1 species